GCAUAUCAAUAAGCGGAGGAAAAGAGACCAACAGGGAUUGCCCCAGUAGCGGCGAGUGAAGCGGCAAGAGCUCAGAUUUGAAAUCGUGUUUCGGCACGAGUUGUAGAGUGUAGGCGGGAGUCUCUGUGGAGCGCGGUGUCCAAGUCCCUUGGAACAGGGUGCCUGAGAGGGUGAGAGCCCCGUAGGGUGCUGCGCGAAGCUUUUGAGGCCCUGCUGACGAGUCGAGUUGUUUGGGAAUGCAGCUCCAAGCGGGUGGUAAAUUCCAUCUAAGGCUAAAUAUUGGCGAGAGACCGAUAGCGAACAAGUACUGUGAAGGAAAGAUGAAAAGCACUUUGAAAAGAGAGUGAAACAGCACGUGAAAUUGUUGAAAGGGAAGGGUAUUGGGCUCGACAUGGGGGGUGCGCACCGCUGUCUCUUGUAGGCGGCGCUCUGGGCGCCCUCUGGGCCAGCAUCGGUUCCUGCUGCGGGAGAAGGGGCUCCGGAAAGUGGCUCUUCGGAGUGUUAUAGCCGGGGCCAGAUGCCGCGUGUGGGGACCGAGGACUGCGGCUUCUGUCUCGGAUGCUGGCAUAACGGCGCAAUACCGCCCGUCUU
rnacentral:rRNA from 1 species